GUAGGUGGCAAGCGUUGUCCGGAAUUAUUGGGCGUAAAGCGCGCGCAGGCGGUUCUUUAAGUCUGAUGUGAAAGCCCACGGCUCAACCGUGGAGGGUCAUUGGAAACUGGAGAACUUGAGUACAGAAGAGGAAAGCGGAAUUCCACGUGUAGCGGUGAAAUGCGUAGAGAUGUGGAGGAACACCAGUGGCGAAGGCGGCUUUCUGGUCUGUAACUGACGCUGAGGCGCGAAAGCGUGGGGGAGCAAACAGGAUUAGAUACCCUGGUAGUCCACGCCGUAAACGAUGAGAGCUAAGUGUUAGGGGGUUUCCGCCCCUUAGUGCUGCAGCUAACGCAUUAAGCACUCCGCCUGGGAGUACGGCCGCAAGGCUG
rnacentral:rRNA from 1 species